AAACUUUCAACCAGUCGGUGGUCUUCUUCCUCAACCAGAAUGGACAACAAUGGACCAAACGGUUGAGUAUUGUGCCUUUGCCUAUCAGCAAUACAUUGUCAUAUCUUCCUUGCGCCCUCAAUAUAGAUACUUGGGAGAUGUUGCCAUUCCAUUUGCUACAGGUGCUGUUUGGCAACGGAGACAGCUCUUUGUGGCUACACCAACUACGAUAGAGUGUGUUUUCGUUGAUGAUGGUGUUGCUCCCAUUGAUAUAGAAACUAAACGGCGUAAAGAAGAUAUGAAACUGAAGGAGGCUCCUUCGAGAGCUGUUGCAGAGCAUGGUGAGUUGGCUCUGAUUGCGGUAGAUGGUCCAUAAACUGCAACACAGGAGCGGAUUUCUUUGAGACCUCCAAUGCUAUAGGUUGUGCGGUUAGCAUCUUUUCAGCAUGCUCCAUCUAUCCCUCCAUUCUUAAUGUUACCUAAACAAUCUAAAGUUGGUAGUGAAAGCUCAUCCGUGCCUAAAGAUAUGGGUAGUAGGAAAGUCAAUGAAGUUGUUGUCGGUGGGAGAGCGGUGGCAGUGGCAGUAACUCGUUUUCCAGGAGAACAAAAACGGCCAGUUGGACCUCUUGUGGUAGUGGGCGUUCGGGAUGGUGUUCUUUCGCUUAUUGAUAGAUACAUGUCUAUUUAUGCAAUAUCCCUCUGCCAUCCCGGAAUCCGCUGCCGUUGUCUAGCUGCCUAUGGAGAUGUUGUUAGUGCAGUAAAAUGGUAAGUUUUAUUAACUUUAUGGUUUUUAAUUGAUUUAUGUCUAUAUUAUUUUCAUGUAUAUCUACAACUACCUUCUAUGCAGGGCAAGUAGGCUUGGUAGAGAACACCAUGAUGAUUUGGCUCAGUUUAUGCUUGGGAUGGGUUAUGCUACUGAAGCACUUCAUUUGCCUGGGAUAUCUAAGAGAGUGGAAUUUGACCUGGCAAUGCAGAGCAACGAUCUGAAAAGAGCCCUCUAGUGUCUUCUAACGAUGAGUAACAGCAGGGAUAUUGGAAAUGAAACUGUUGGGCUAAACUUGAACAACUUUAUGAGUCUAACUGUCAAAAAGGAAGAUAUUGUGGAGGCAGUUGAUGGAGUAGUGAAAUUCGGGAAGGAAUUUCUUGAUCUUAUUGAUGCUGCAGAUGCCACUGCUCAAGGUGAGAUUGCUCGUGAAGCUCUUAAGCGGUUAGCUGCAGCCGGUUAAGUGAAGGGAGCUUUACGGGGACAUGAAUUAAGGGGAUUAGCCUUAUAAUUAGCUAAUCACGGGGAGUUGACUCGACUUGGGGUAUAUCUUGAUUUUUUGCUUUGUUUUCUUUUUGUUUCGGUUUUCUAUUUCGCGUUAGAAUAAAAAAAAUAAUAUUAGUUGGUGCAUGGCUUUUAGCCAUCUACCUAUCUUCCAUGUCCGGUCUGUGUUUUAUAACUCCAUGUAUGAGUUGUGACUUGUUAGCUAUAUACUCUUCAGUCCUUUAGCACACAUUUAUAAA